rnacentral:misc_RNA from 1 species
GAUGAAGAACGUAGCGAAAUGCGAUACUUGGUGUGAAUUGCAGAAUCCCGUGAACCAUCGAGUCUUUGAACGCAAGUUGCGCCCGAAGCCACUAGGCCGAGGGCACGCCUGCCUGGGCGUCACACGCCGUUGCCCCCCCAUCUACUCCUUCGGGAUUGCGGGGGGGCGGAUGAUGGCCUCCUGUGCGCCUAGCCGCGCGGUUGGCAUAAAUACCAAGUCCUCGGCGACGCACGCCACGACAAUCGGUGGUUGCGAAACCUCGGUUGCCCGUCGUGUGCGUUCGUCGCGCAUCGAGGGCUCGAAAAAAUGCUCGGCUCCGGCUCGGCUUUCAACGCGACCUCAGGUCAGGCGGGGUUACCCGCUGAAUUUAAGCAUAUCAAUAAGCGGAGGA